AUGGUAUUAUUUUGGCAAUCAAUGGGGUCUUCAUAAAGCAUGGGGGGGAUUUGGAGUUUGGGAUUCUUCUCCCUUCUCCAAAGAAUCAAAACUGUUUGCUUGUGCUUAACCAAUGGCUCAGCUAAACAGUACCAUAGAUAUACCGCCACCGCGCACGGAGGAGGAUCCCCUAGUAGCUAGCUAGCUAGCAGAAGCUUUUGGCUAAUGCAGUGGCAAACCGGCAAGUCACAGAACGGCAAUUGACUCAAUCAUGAGUCUU
rnacentral:sRNA from 1 species